rnacentral:ribozyme from 1 species
UUCCCAGCAGCUCCUAACCCUACCUCCUCGUGGUACUGGUCGGGUUACGAGUAACCUUAGGGAAGAUCUGGUAACCAACCCCGGUGGGAACUUUGGUCGUAUGCUGACAGGGAAGG